GAGUUUGAUCAUGGCUCAGAGUGAACGCUGGCGGCAGGCCUAACACAUGCAAGUCGAACGGCAGCACAGGGGAGCUUGCUCCCUGGGUGGCGAGUGGCGGACGGGUGAGGAAUACAUCGGAAUCUGCCCAGUCGUGGGGGAUAACUUAGGGAAACUUAAGCUAAUACCGCAUACGACCUACGGGUGAAAGAGGGGGAUCGCAAGACCUCUCGCGAUUGGAUGAGCCGAUGUCGGAUUAGCUUGUUGGCGGGGUAACGGCCCACCAAGGCGACGAUCCGUAGCUGGUCUGAGAGGAUGAUCAGCCACACUGGAACUGAGACACGGUCCAGACUCCUACGGGAGGCAGCAGUGGGGAAUAUUGGACAAUGGGCGCAAGCCUGAUCC
rnacentral:rRNA from 1 species